rnacentral:lncRNA from 1 species
CAUAGUUUCUCUCUUGAAACUGUGUAUUAAAUUUAACAAACAUGUAACAAAUUUGCCCUUUGUGAUCCCCUUUUGAAUAUUUUGUUUUUUUCUGUGUAUCUUUUAAAAUGUUUUAUUAAUUCUUUUUCAUCUUCUUCCUUAUUUCCCUACCUCCUUUCUUUUCUUCCUUCCUUCCUUCCUUCCUUCCUUCUGUCUCUCCCUCCCCCUCUUUCCGUCCAUCUCUCUCUCCAUCUCUGCCUGUCUGUCUCUCUGUAUCGGUUACUAUCCACUAACUCCCUUCCUCUCUUGUAACCCCGAGACCUUCGUGACCAUCCAGCCUUUGAACCCUUUGGUGCGUCGCCAGUGCAGUCCACAGAAUCUCUCUGCAAGGACAUGGUCUCCAGGAGCGGCUGUGCCUGAAGAUUGCCUCCCCCAGAGGCUGGUCUGCUGUCUCUUCCCAACUGAUUUCGGCUUCGUAAAACCUGACAGGGUGAGUGCUGGGAGCAUCCCAGACUGUUAUGAUGCCAGAAUGCAUUUACCUCCUCCAGAAACUGCCCUUAUCUCCCCACUGGUAACGACCUCUUCCCUCUUGCUGCCUCCCUUCUCCAUGUCCUGGUUGGCACUGGUCUGCGAGCUCUAGGGGACCAAGACUUCAAGGUAGGUUUCCCUCCCUGUCCUACUUCACCUAGCCAAGAGCUCUCUGUCCUUCGUCCCUGGUUUGGCCUGGCCCUCCCUCCAGCCACACAGAUUUGCACCCAGCGGAGGGUGUCAUGGAUGGGUACUGCAUAGACUCUAGAGGAAACUCAGGCCCACAGAGGGGCAGGUCUUAGUCUCUGGUCACAAGAGGAGCAAGAGGCAGAGCCUAGAUUUGAUUCAGGGUCACUGACUUCAAGUUGAGUGCUGGCUGGGUGACAAUUUGCUGGAGGUGAAAAACUGUAAUUACUUCAUGGUCCAUGAGGUCAUGAGGAGCCCGGAGCUGAACCUAGCUCCCUGGCCUCCUCCAAUAAAUACUACAGCAGCUUAAUCA